UUAGAGGAAGUAAAAGUCGUAACAAGGUUUCCGUAGGUGAACCUGCGGAAGGAUCAUUAUUGAAUAAACUUGGAUUGUGUUGCUUGCUGGCUCUCAGGAGUAUGUGCACACUCAUUCCAUUUCUUCAAUCUCCUGUGCACCUUUUGUAGGCCUGAAUAACUCUCGAGAAAGAAUAUUUUUUUCUCGGUCUGGGAAUUUGUUGUGUCUCAAGUGGCACGGCUUUUCUUGUGUUUCUGGUCUAUGUUUUCAUAUACCCCUAUUAAAAUGUAAUGGAAUGUUGCAAUGGGCUUUUGUGUCCUUGAAAACAAAAUACAACUUUCAACAACGGAUCUCUUGGCUCUCGCAUCGAUGAAGAACGCAGCGAAAUGUGAUAAGUAAUGUGAAUUGCAGAAUUCAGUGAAUCAUCGAAUUUUUGAACGCACCUUGCGCUCCUUGGUAUUCCGAGGAGCAUGCCUGUUUGAGUGUCAUUAAAUUUCUCAACCUUUCUGGCUUUUACAAGGCUUUGAGUAGGCUUGGAUUAUGGGAGUUGCUGGUCUUUUAUAAGUCAGCUCUCUUUAAAUGUAUUAGCAAGAUCAUUGUGCUGAUCAGCUCUGGUAUGAUAACUAUCUAUACCGUUGAGGAGCAGUCUUCUUUCCUUCAGAGAGGGGGGGAAGGUCUUGCUUCUAGAUGUCUUCAUAUUGAGACAAUUCUGACAAUUUUGACCUCAAAUCAGGUAGGACUACCCGCUGAACUUAAGCAUAUCAUA
rnacentral:rRNA from 1 species